rnacentral:rRNA from 1 species
AACGUAGGAGGCAAGCGUUAUCCGGAGUUACUGGGCGUAAAGAGUGCGUAGGCGGAUUGAUAAGUGGGUGGUGAAAGCGCCCGGCUAAACCGGGCGAGGUCCAUUCAGACUGUCAGUCUAGAGGCGGAUAGAGGGGUGCGGAAUUCCUGGUGUAGCGGUGAAAUGCGUAGAUAUCAGGAGGAACACCUGCGGUGUAGACGGCUUUCUGGACCAUUGCUGACGCUGAGACACGAAAGCGUGGGUAGCAAACAGG